rnacentral:rRNA from 1 species
GAUGAACGCUGGCGGCGUGCCUAAUACAUGCCAGUCGAGCGAACAGACGAGAGUGCUUGCACUCUCUGACGUUAGCGGCGGACGGGUGAGUAACACGUGGGUAACCUACCUAUAAGACUGGGAUAACUUCGGGAAACCGGAGCUAAUACCGGAUAAUAUUUAGCUUCGCAUGACGCAAUAGUGAAAGACGGUUCUGCUGUCACUUAUAGAUGGACCCGCGGUGUAUUAGCUAGUUGGUGAGGUAACGGCUCACCAAGGCAACGAUACAUAGCCGACCUGAGAGGGUGAUCGGCCACACUGGGACUGAGACACGGCCCAGACUCCUACGGGAGGCAGCAGUAGGGAAUCUUCCGCAAUGGACGAAAGUCUGACGGAGCAAUGCCGCGUGAGUGAAGAAGGUUUUCGGAUCGUAAAACUCUGUUGUAAGGGAAGAACAAGUACGUUAGUAACUGAACGUACCUUGACGGUACCUUACCAGAAAGCCACGGCUAACUACGUG